AUAUUGGUCAAUGGGCGAGAGCCUGAACCAGCCAAGUCGCGUGAGGGAAGAAUGGUCUAUGGCCUGUAAACCUCUUUUGUCAAGGAAGAAUAAGCGGCACGAGUGCCACCUUGCCAGUACUUGACGAAUAAGCAUCGGCUAACUCCGUGCCAGCAGCCGCGGUAAUACGGGGGAUGCGAGCGUUAUCCGGAUUUAUUGGGUUUAAAGGGCGCGUAGGCGGGACGCCAAGUCAGCGGUAAAAGACUGCAGCUAAACUGUAGCACGCCGUUGAAACUGGCGACCUGGAGACGAGACGAGGGAGGCGGAACAAGUGAAGUAGCGGUGAAAUGCUUAGAUAUCACUUGGAACCCCGAUAGCGAAGGCAGCUUCCCAGGCUCGAUCUGACGCUGAUGCGCGAGAGCGUGGGUAGCGAACAGGAUUAGAUACCCUGGUAGUCCACGCCGUAAACGAUGCUCACUGGAUCUUGGCGAUACACUGCCAGGGUUCAAGCGAAAGUAUUAAGUGAGCCACCUGGGGAGUACGUCGGCAACGAUGAAACUCAAAGGAAUUGACGGGGGCCCGCACAAGCGGAGGAACAUGUGGUUUAAUUCGAUGAUACGCGAGGAACCUUACCCGGGUUUAAAUGCAGGUUGCAUGAGGUGGAAACACCUCUUUCCCUCGGGACUACCUGCAAGGUGCUGCAUGGUUGUCGUCAGCUCGUGCCGUGAGGUGUCGGGUUAAGUCCCAUAACGAGCGCAACCCCUAUCGCCAGUUGCCAUCGGUUGAAGCCGGGCACUCUGUCGAGACUGCCACCGUAAGGUGCGAGGAAGGCGGGGAUGACGUCAAAUCAGCACGGCCCUUACACCCGGGGCGACACACGUGUUACAAUGGCCGGUACAGAGGGCAGCCACGGGGCGACCCGGAGCGAAUCUCUAAAGCCGGUCGUAGUUCGGACUGGAGUCUGCAACCCGACUCCACGAAGUUGGAUUCGCUAGUAAUCGCGCAUCAGCCAUGGCGCGGUGAAUACGUUCCCGGGCC
rnacentral:rRNA from 1 species